UACGAAGGGGGCUAGCGUUGUUCGGAAUCACUGGGCGUAAAGGGCGCGUAGGCGGCUUUAUAAGUCGGGGGUGAAAGCCUGUGGCUCAACCACAGAAUUGCCUUCGAUACUGUAGAGCUUGAGACCGGAAGAGGUAAGUGGAACUGCGAGUGUAGAGGUGAAAUUCGUAGAUAUUCGCAAGAACACCAGUGGCGAAGGCGGCUCACUGGCCCGUAACUGACGCUGAGGUGCGAAAGCGUGGGGAGCAAACAGG
rnacentral:rRNA from 1 species